AUUGAACGCUGGCGGCAUGCCUUACACAUGCAAGUCGAGCGGAGUGGCGGACGGGUGAGUAAUGUAUCGGAAUGUGCCCGGUAGUGGGGGAUAACUACGCGAAAGCGGCGCUAAUACCGCAUACUAUUGGAUCAGCCUAUGUCGGAUUAGCUAGUUGGUGGGGUAAAGGCCUACCAAGGCGACGAUCCGUAACUGGUCUGAGAGGAUGACCAGGCACACUGGAACUGAGACACGGGCCAGACUCCUACGGGAGGCAGCAGUGGGGAAUAUUGGACAAUGGGCGAAAGCCUGAUCCAGCCAUGCCGCGUGUGUGAAGAAGGUCUUCGGAUUGUAAAGCACUUUAAGUAGGGAGGCGUUACCAGCAGAAUAAGCACCGGCUAACUACGUGCCAGCAGCCGCGGUAAUUC
rnacentral:rRNA from 1 species